UGGGGAAUAUUGCACAAUGGGGGAAACCCUGAUGCAGCAACGCCGCGUGAGUGAUGACGGCCUUCGGGUUGUAAAGCUCUGUCUUCAGGGACGAUAAUGACGGUACCUGAGGGGGAAGCCACGGCUAACUACGUGCCAGCAGCCGCGGUAAUACGUAGGUGGCAAGCGUUGUCCGGAUUUACUGGGCGUAAAGGGAGCGUAGGCGGACUUUUAAGUGAGAUGUGAAAUACCCGGGCUCAACCUGGGUGCUGCAUUUCAAACUGGAAGUCUAGAGUGCAGGAGAGGAGAGUGGAAUUCCUAGUGUAGCGGUGAAAUGCGUAGAGAUUAGGAAGAACACCAGUGGCGAAGGCGACUCUCUGGACUGUAACUGACGCUGAGGCUCGAAAGCGUGGGGAGCAAACA
rnacentral:rRNA from 1 species